ACUUUACAAUGCAGGCAACUGUGAUAAGGGAGCCCCGAGUGCCCGUAUGGACGGGCUGUUCAGGUGCUUAAAAACCACCUGGAGAAAGGGCCGGGCAAGACCGGUGCCAGCCGCCGCGGUAAUACCGGCGGCUCGAGGGGUGGCCACUAUUACUGGGCUUAAAGCGUCCGUAGCUUGGUCGUUAAGCCUCUGGGGAAACCUUCCGGCUCAACCGGAAGGCGUCCCAGGGGAACUGGCGGCCUAGGGCUCGGGAGAGGUGGGGGGUAUCCUGGGGGUAGAGUGGAAUCCCUGUAACCCCCAGGGCCCCCCUGGGGGCGAAGCCGCUCCACCAGACCGACUCCACAAGUGAGGACCGAAACCUGGGGAGCAA
rnacentral:rRNA from 1 species